GAGGGUAUAGCUCAGUGGGUAGAGCACACACUCAGCAUGCAUGAGGUCCUGGGUUCAAUCCCCAGCACCUCCU
rfam:Camelus ferus unplaced genomic scaffold scaffold223, whole genome shotgun sequence.